rnacentral:rRNA from 1 species
CCUACGGGAGGCAGCAGUGGGGGAUCUUGCACAAUGGGGGGAACCCUGAUGCAGCGACGCCGCGUGGGUGAAGAAGCGCCUCGGCUCGUAAAGCUCUGUCAGCAGGGAAGAACAUGACGGUUACUAAAGAAGCAGCCCCUGCUAACUACGUGCCAGCAGCCGCGGUAAUACGUAGGGGGCACGCGUUAGCCGGAUGUACUGGGUGUAAAGGGGGCGCAGCCGGUGUUGCAAGCCAGGAGUGAAAGCACGGGGCCCAACCGCGGGACGUCACUGGAAACUGGGUGGCUUGAGUGCAGAAGGGGCAGGUGGAAUUCCAGGUGUAGCGGUGAAAUGCGUAGAUAUCAGGAGGAACACCAGUGGCGAAGGCGG